rfam:Clostridium sp. CAG:417 genomic scaffold, scf8
GGGGAUGUAAUGGUUUCGACGGAAUUGUUUUCGCAUGGAUGGCAAGUCGAUUGUUCACGUUACGAACACAAAAAAAUAAAUGCAAAUAAAAUUAAAAAUGCUUUUGCAAACUUAUUUGGUGGAAACCAAGAGUUAGCAUUCGCCUAAUAAAUAAAAAGGUAAGCGUCUCUUCUAUUUGUACCUAGGUAAUAGAAAGAGAUUCAUUUUAUAGGUUAUGGUUAUUUUUUGUCUAGGAAAUAACAAGAAAUUUUAGACUGGUACAUUUAUUUUGUCGUUAACUACUUGAUAGGUGUAUAAGAUUAUUUAGUUAACUAAACUUGUAGAGGUUUAUGUAGAGGCUUUUUCGGACAGGAGUUCGAUUCUCCUCAUCUCCACCA